UACGAACGCUGGCGGCGUGCUUAACACAUGCAAGUCGAGCGGUAAGGCCCUUUCGGGGGUACACGAGCGGCGAACGGGUGAGUAACACGUGGGUGACCUGCCCUCAGCUCUGGGAUAAGCCUGGGAAACCGGGUCUAAUACUGGAUAUGACUCCAUGACGCAUGUUGUGGGGUGGAAAGCCUUGUGCGGCUGAGGAUGGGCCCGCGGCCUAUCAGCUUGUUGGUGGGGUGAUGCCUACCAAGGCGACGACGGGUAGCCGGCCUGAGAGGGCGACCGGCCACACUGGGACUGAGACACGGCCCAGACUCCUACGGGAGGCAGCAGUGGGGAAUCUUGCGCAAUGGGCGAAAGCCUGACGCAGCGACGCCGCGUGAGGGAUGACGGCCUC
rnacentral:rRNA from 1 species